rnacentral:misc_RNA from 1 species
CUGAAAUGUUGAGUAGUUGUUCGUA